rnacentral:rRNA from 1 species
GACGAACGCUGGCGGCGUGCUUAACACAUGAAAGUCGAACGAAGUGGCGAACGGGUGAGUAACGCGUAAUAAACCUGCCCUUCAGAGGGGGACAACAGUUGGAAACGACUGCUAAUACCGCAUACUGAAGGGGGGGAGUGCGUCGGAUUAGCUCGUUGGAUGGGUAACGGCCCACCCAGGCGAAGAUCAGUAGCUGGUCUGGGAGGAUGAACGGCCACAUUGGGACUGCGACACGGCCCAGACUCCUACGGGAGGCAGCAGUGGGGAAUCUUCCGCAAUGGACUGAAGUCUGACUGAGCAACGCCGCGUGAGUGAUGACGGCCUUCGGGUUGUAAAGCUCUGUUAAUCGGGACGCGGUACCGGAAUAGAAAGCCACGGCUAACUACGUGCCAGCAGCCGCGGUAAUAC